AAAAUGUCUAGGUAUCCAGAGAAAAGAGGAUGGCCCUGCUGAGGAUGGUCCUGUCCUUCCAGAUGACUGAUUCAGAGUCUAGCCAUACAAGCCUUUGCUGGAUGUGAUAAAGACCCUGAGCUGAACUCAUGCCUGGCUGCCUGCACCGUUCCCAAAGUGGCUGCCUUGCUGAUCAGGAUCCUAACACCACCACUAUCGACUCCUCUAUUCCAUCGCUCUUAAGCAGAAGCUCCUGUCGGCUGUCUUGAAAUUCACGCUCAGUUCUUCUCCCCCAAUUUUCCUUCCAUUCUCAGGUAAGAAUGAGUCUUGUGUCAUUGCCUUCUUCUCAAGCCAGUACCUUUCUCUAGUUCUCAUUUGUUCUCGAACCCCAGUAUGAUGUCCUUCCUAUGGCCACCCUUCCAGGACUCUCGUCCUAAGUGCUUGAGUCAUAGGAUCUUUGCAGUUGCAUUGUCUCGAAUGCACCCCAUCCCAUCACCUUCCCACAAUGAUUCUUCAGCUCUGAGUUGGCCAUUCCUUUGUUCACAAAGUCCCAAGCACACAUGUGUCCUCGUGGAACACAGAAGCUGGGGCAGUGUUUUCCCACUGUGUUUUCAGUUGCACGCCACUAUAGUACUGGCCCAAGUGAGAGGUGUCUACAUCUUCAGUGAGGUGAGCAGAGCAUCGAUGCUGCUUGCUGGGUUUGUAGGUAUGCAGAAUGCAGGAGUUAUGGGGUCAUGAAGCCUUACACUGAAGAUCCGGAAAAUAAGCUGGUGAAACCAAGCACUAUAGUAUAUAGCAAUGUUAGAUCCUUUGCAAAAGAACCUGAGAGGUCCUUGCUUGUAACCCUGAAAAUGAAACCUGAGUUGCAAUGGAGACACCAGGACAUAUCACAAACAUGGAACUUCUGCUGAGAAAAGGUGGCAACACUGCGUGGAGCUGCUUCAAGACAGAACUAUACCUAAGCCUACUAGAGACCAGACUAUGCUACCAGAAGACCUAAAUGCUAUAAAUGAAGAGUUGCAAUGGUAUUUGCUCUGCUGGGGUUUGGUCUUGGCUGAACUUUUCUCCCUGUACCCCAUUCCUCUUGAUUGGGAUAUAAAUGUUUCCUCUGUGCCAUGAGACUGUGAUUUUUUUUUGUUAUCUCACAGGGGCUCAUGGCUAUGAGAUUUUGGGGACUUUUGAAGUUAGAUUAAAUAUAUUACAUAUUAUGAGAUGGCCUUUAGCCUAUGGAGGCCAGAGGCUAACUCUUAGCCUUGAGUGUGGACUAUAUCCUACAAGCUCAUGUGCUUGAAUACUCUGUACCCCUUAGGUGAUGCUGUUUUUGAAGUUUGGGGAACCUUUAGGAGGUGGAGUCAGGUUCAAGGGAAUGGGAUGCUUAGGUCAGGGAGCCUUGUGGCCCCCAGUUUCCUUGCAUGUUCUGGCUGCUUCCUGGUUCAUCAAUAUGUGAACAAAUCACUCACCCUCUUACCACCAUGGAACUCUCUCACCCCACCAUGAAAUUGUGAAUCCCCCAAAUCAAUUUCUCCCUGAAGUUGCUGCUUUCCAGUUAUUUGUUACAAUGAUGAGAAAAGUACCUCAUUCCUUCUUUCCCCAUGACAUGUUCACCUACAAAUAGAGACACAGUAUAUACUCACAACUUUAAUAGGUCAUUAGCUGGGGUGGUGGAAAGUUGACGGGCUUUGAUUUUUGUCCUUCAUGUGUUGUCAAUUUCAAAUAAAUUAAGUUAGUCCCAAGAAAACAAAGUCUGAAUUUCACAAUUUUCUGAGAAUUAUUGGAACCAGGUCUUCCACAUGAGAUAUGAGUCUAUAAAUAUUUUCAGUGCCUAAUGCAGUAAUUACAUUUUGGUGCUGAUACACAUGUAAAUGUUUUCAUAUUCCUACCACAUGCAUGUUGGAGUGUACACACAUUUUUCUUUAUUUUUUUUUCGUUCAGAGAAGCACAUAAAAUACAAAUCUCUUUACUUCAAAGUCAGAGCAGAGGAGUUGGAGUUCUAAAUAUUUUCUGAUUUGGAGUGGUGUUCCACGACACUAGCAUGAAACCAACUCUUCAUCAAAGUGGUUUGCUUCAAUCAGGGCUGUACCGAUGCGCUAUAAAUUAUAAAUCAUAUCUUCUGUUUUACAUGGGAAUGGAAGCUUGGAGGUGGCUCGCACUCCAACAGACGGACUUGAGGUAGUUUCAUGUCCUCGGUUGCUUAUGAUUUGCUUCUAAGGUCAUUUUCAAAGACUCUGCCAUUAACUUCAGAGGCAACCCGGCAAGGAGCUUUCAGCAGCUAAGUAUGGGUUUUGGCACGGGUUCUGAUAGUUAAACAAGGCAGCGAGGAAUCACAAACAAGGAGCCAGGAGGGACGAGUGGGAGGGAAAGGUGGCUGGGAGGGAAUGGGGAGAGAGAAAUGACACCCACCGUCAUACUAGUCACCUCUCACUGGGUUCUUGGUUCCUUCCUGGACAAGAAAUGAAAGGGAAGGAGUGCAGAUCUGAGUAGUGACAGGAGUACCAGCAUUUCAGUCUAACCUAUGCUUCUGGUUUUCCCUGGGGCUGUGGGAAAGCUGAAGACCCCAGUCAUCCAUCACAUUCAUGGUCCCACCUUAAGUCCAGGAUCAUUUUAUCUUGAAAUGAUCAAAUAAGACAGCCCCCCCCCCCUCAGAUUGUAGGUAGACUUGAAGGGUGUGUGUGUGGCUACCAUCCAGCCUCCCACAUCCCUUGAGCAUGCUGCUGUCCUGGCUGUGAUCUCUCUCGUGCCCAACUUGUACCUUCUCUUUUGAGAACAGCCCAGGUUGGUGUCCCAUUCACAAUCCCCCUGCCUUAGCUCCCUAAGUGCUGGGUUUUUAGUCCUGUUGCAAUCACUUCGCACUUUCCCUGUGCUCUUUGGAGCCUCUGAAUCUAGUAUCUAAAGUGCUUGCUAAUGGUUGGUACAGCCAGGAUCCUUGGGACUCUGUCUGCUCUGACACCCCGAGGUUCUAGACACCACCGACAGUGCACAUCAUCUCAGUGAGGACCAAAGAAGCUUUGGAAUCAGGUGGACAGAAGACAGUGGCUGCAGAGUAUGUUAUAGAAAACCAGGAGCUGAUAUGAUAAUGGUGGUGAGUAUAUCUGCGCACACGCACAGCCAGGAGUACACUUGUAUGUGAGAAAAGACUGUUUGACCAAGCUGGAUUCCUUGUCUAUGUGCCUGGGCAAGGCAUGGUUUCCCAUAUGUGUUCCUUCCUGCUGUGUUUUAUUGCUUGGGGUGCCCAUCUUCCGCUCUUGGGAGAUACAUUAGUAAUCCGUGUUCCAGAGGUUUACUUUCAAAGUUUUCAAUGACCUGUGGUUAAGUGAGAUCCCAGAAUAUGAAACGGAAAAUUACAGUAAAAAAAAAAUUCUAAGUUUGGAAUUGCGUGCUGUUCUGUGUAGUGUGAUGAAAUCUUUUACCACACCAACCAGGACAUGAAUCACCCCAUAGCCUAGCACAGCAUGCUGCAUGCGUCACAGAGCUGUUAGUCACUCCCUAGCUGUCUCCUUCGUCAGACCAACUGUUGCAUAUCACAGUGCUGUGGAGCUGGUGAUUCAGGUAUGUCCUCCCAAGGGACAAAGAGUGAGUUGGGGGUAUCAGUCAUGUGCCGCACAAACACCCCACUUCUUUCUUCCAUCCAGCACAUGGUAGGUACUCCUCAAGCCCUUUUAAAGUUUUGGCACGGACAAGGGAAUGUAAGCAAAAGUGAUACAUUACUUCCAGGAGGAAGCAUGAUUUUCUACCUCCUUUCCCCACUGCUGCAGAAACAGAAGCACCCAUUGAACACCAGUCUCUGAAUAAAGGAAUCUGUUUGCAGAGCCCCCUGCUGGCCGGUGGUGGACACACAGUACAAAAGAGAAAUCACCACACUGCUUUACAUUUCUGAGCAGGCUUGUUACUGCAGCAUGACACAACCUCUUCUGGCUAAAUAAAUAAUGUACGUGACGUACUUGCUUUUGUAACUCCUAUAACAUAUAGUGUCCGAUGUUUAGUAGGUUCUCAAUAAUAUUUGAUAAAUUAAGCAGUGAAUGUAAACACAUUUAGCUUGAAAAGGAACAGCCAUCCAUCACAUAUAUAAACAAAGUAGCUGCUGUACUAAGGGGAAAUGGGGUUUGGAAUUAGAUAGUGUAGAUAGCGUUUCAAACUGGAACAAAUGUAUGCUUUAAUCAUACCUAUCUCAUUGGUAGGGUUGUGAUUUAAACUAUUGCCUUUAGCAUAUUUAUUUUAUUGAUGCCUUAGUAAUUAAAAAGAAAAGAAAGAAAAGAGAAAAAGAAGGCAGGAAAAAGAAUUAGUAGUUGCUGGUGAUAUAAAACAAGGCAGAAGACUCAGCAGGUGGUAGAGAUAACAGUUUUCUACUCUCAAGGCUUGACUUAAUGUGAGAGCUUGCCCAUUACUCACUAUUCUUAUCUUUUGACUCAUCCCGCUCAGUUAUUUAUUCUCCAAGUAUUUAUUGAGCAGGUAGGUGCUGAGUCCUUGGCUAGGUGGCUGAUUCUCUCCUGAAGCUCAGCUGUGUAAGGUGUUAAGAGCCAGCAUAAGGACUGCCACAGUCAGCUCCAAAGAUUGGUGGGAGGAGGAAUCCAUCAGAUUUGGGACCAAAGACUUGCUUUGUUUCACUACCUUGUAUCUUCUCAUUCCAUAGUUCUCCAGCCCUUCAAUUUCCUUCCCUACAGCUGGUCCUCAACGCCUUUGUCUGGCACAGCAGCUCUCUGAGAGAGAGGAGAGGAAUACAUUGUUCCCAUUUGUAAGGUGAAGAAACUGGCACCAAGAGAAUGAGACAGAGGCCGAAUGAAGACACUGUGGCCAGCAACUUAUGCUCACUGUCAGAGGAGAACAGCUGCUCCAAGCAGGAAAGCUGGUCAGAGACUAGUGACUUCCUCACCUGGUGAAGGUCAUUUGAUGACUCAGUAUCAAAGUCAGCACUAAAAUGAAAACAACAAUAACAAGAAAAGGUAACAAUUGUUGGCAAGAGCCCUGUGUGUUACUGACAGAAAGUUAGAUGGUACAGCCCCUGAGGAUAAACGGUAAGGUGGUACCUCAAAAAAUUAAACGUGACUUACCUGAAGAUACAGAAACUUCAUUCCCACCUGCCAGCGGGUCCAGAGGAACCAGAGAAGAUAUUUGUAAACCUACAUUGUUAACAACGUUAUUUACAUUAUCUAGAAGGCAGAAGCAACCCUUGUCCAUAAUAGGCAAACGGACACACCACAUGGCAUGUACACCUCCCAGGGAAUCUCAUUUCAUUGUUGAAGGAAGAAAAUGCCAGGGCACCCUGCAGCAGAAGGAACAUGGAGGACACUGGGGAGGGGCCAGCUGGACCAGGAUGAGACUCUACUUUGAAAGAAAUGCCACAGAGCUUCUAGAUAUCAAUCACAUACAAGAGGCAGCUGAGGGGUGAGUUCAGCUAAAUAUCCCAUUAAGUUGCCUGUGGUCUUCCCCUCCGCUGAGGAGGAGGGGAAAAAAGCAUUGGGGGGAGAGCACUGGCACUUCAGUAAUCCCUACAAAACUUGGACCUCCCGUGUAGUGCUGGGUGUAGGUAAGGCACAGGAUAACUGGUAUGGAAAGCAGUAUGACAGAGCCUGAAAAUUCUAAACACAGGACUGACAAGUGCUCUGGUGGUCUACCUCUGGGUUUCUAACCCAGACAAUCAAGAGCAGAGAUUCUGGAGGGCAGUCUCUGCACACGUGUUUAUAAUAACACCGUUCGCAAUCGGCCAAAGUUAGAGACAACAGGACAUCCAUGGGGAGAAGCCACUUCCAGGAAUGCUGCACUGGGCAGAGAGAAAGUAUUCAAGUCUGCCACAUCACAGAUUCUCCCACACUUUGAUAAUGACUAGAGUGCUCGUGUAACUUGAACUCCAAAUGACAUGGUGUUUUAGAGUGUUGGUGCAAACAUCCCCUGAGAUAUGAAAUACCUUUAAGAUUGAAAGUAUACCACAAGCAUAAAUUGAAAUUUCCAAGAAACUGGUGUAAAUCUUCAUCCAGUAGCAACUACACACCUAUCCGGCACUGUGUUCCAGACCCCCCACCUGCCACUGCUCCAUCCUUGAUGUGUUUCUCUCUCUGCUCUGCCCUGUGGGAGGCAGACUCCUGCACACUGUAGCUGGUCCUCUUGCCUUCUGCUAUUGCUAAUCAGAGACCUUGAAGAACAGCAGGGGGAAGAAAGAGAUGCCAGCAUAUAUAUAUUUUACCACAAUCUCACACUGAUGCAGAAUCCUGGGCAGUGGCUUAUCCCUUAUAUGACUACAGUAGCUCUUUCCAGGGUGGUCCUCCUGCAAGCUGUGGAUCUCUCUGACCUCCAGAGGCUUAGUUUCCUCUCUGAGUACCUGAACAUUUUUAUACUCUUCUGUGUGUAGUUCCUGCAUUGUAACCUCCUCAUUUGUACCCUCUGAACUGCCUUUUUUCUGACUAAUUCUCUUGCUUGCUAUGAGCCACUACUUUACACAUACCAUGUUCAUGGACUACAGUCCAGGAAGCAGCUAAUUCUUGUUCUUCCCAUUUGUAGAUGAGGAAAUUAGGGGCACGGAGGUUAAAUCAUCUGCCAAGAUGUCUGGCUAGGAAAUGUCGAGGUUGUGUCUUACCUCAGUGACUAUAAUCUAGGGACACUGAGGUGGAUCUUCCUCAAAAUAGUUUCAAAGUGAUGAUGACUCUGGAGCCUCUUACCUCAUCCCAGAGUGGCCAGGCAUCUCCAGAAGUUCAUGUCAAGCCCCCAGGUUCAGAGAAGAGAUGCAAAAGAGUGUGAGAUCCAGGCAGGCCUGUUUUAGCCUAACAAACCAUGGACUGUCAGCAUCUUUCUCUUUUAGUUGUUGCCCUAACCCUGGGAAGGGAACAGUCCCCAUAACCACAUCCUCAGCACCACUCAGACUUGUUAAAGAUGUGAAGUCCUGGGGCCCCACUGAGACCUGCAGUGGGGUGUGGCACUUGGCUUCUGUAGUGUCCAGCUGGAAGCCUGGUAUUGUCUGAUUCUCAGAGCUUCAAGGGAUUUCCUGGUUUUUCUUUCCCCAAUAGGAACACAUGAGAAGAUUUAAUGACAUCACCUUGGCCAAGAUUCAGGAAUUCGGGACUCCAAGUUAUCCUGAACAGUCUAAAACCGAAAAUGGAAAGAUGAUUUUGCUUUGAGUCCAUGUGAACUCUGUGGAUGAGGGGAUGGACGCGGAGAACAUCUAUUCUGAGUAGAUGAGUUAAACAUAAAACUCUCAACACCAGUGAGGAAAUCAGAUUCCACGUUCACUUAAACUGUCCGCAGAGACCUUCAUUUUACAAACAAGAAACCCAGUGAAGGAAAGUCUGGCCUGGCAUUCCUUUCAUUUGCAGAUGUUGUGUAUCCUCAUUAUUCAUUGUAAACAGAGAAGGCUCCGUGCCACCUCAGUCAUACUGCAGGAGGAUGUUUUCACCAGCUCAGAAAAGGGGGGAAUGGGUGUAAAAAUAUUUAUGCUGCAUUUUCCAGGACUGUGUUUGAUUUCCUUUUUGGUUUGUUUAUUUUGUGGAAUGAGAGGGAUGGUGCAUCUUAUUUUUACAAGCUUGUAUUGUUACCCCAGGAAUGUUUUGGCAGAUGCAAAAUUAAAAACAAACUUCAUGUUUUCUUCAGUGCCCUUCAGGGCCCGAAAGGACAGGAACAAAGUAUCGUGGUUUGUCAUCAGAGCGCCAGGAAGCCACAAGGAAACGGAGUUUAUGAACCAAAUUGCUCAAAACGGGAAAGAAAUGAAAAAUGUGCAGCAGAUGCUCCCAGACUGGAGAACAAGCCAGAGGAAGGCCCACAGCAAAGCUUAUUGGCCUUCAACAAUAGCUGUUUGCACGCACAUGCGCGCGCAUGCGCACACACACACACACACACACACACACACACACACACACACCAAUUCUCUUCUAUAGUCAUUUCCCUGGGAUUUGAAAUUGAUAACUGUGGACACAAAGACACACUUGGCCUAAUUUGUCAGGCUAUUUGGAGUCAUGGGUGUCACCCUGCAUGUCUGGUAUGUGUACAGAUGGCUCCUGCUGGCUUCAAUAAAAUUGGAAAGCAGAAAGUCUGUAAUUUUUUUUCCAGACCAUUUAAAGGGGUUGCUUGUCAGUGCCCUGGUGUUGAAAUGGGAAUGUUAUACUGACUUUCUGGAAGUGUUCCCCAUGUUUAUAGACUGGUAACACAAUGUGUGGGUGAAAGAGAGAGCGAGCCAAUCAAUACUGUCAUCCAGUCUACUGAGUGCUUCAGCCAAACGUGCCCCCCCCCCGCCCCCGUUUUGCUGGUAAGCAAUGCUCCUGCUUGAUCAUGCAAGCAUUCAUUAAGGCAGCAAUUUCCAAAUCACUUUGCCAUUCUUUUGCAAUAUCCAUCAUUUAUCUACUUUUCAAAGACACUUGGUUUGUUUAAAAAUAAAAUAAAUUACCAGGGAAUCUGAGGCAGGCGGCUUACCUACUUCAAGACAACAUAGGGGAGAUCAUAUAUUACAAACAAAGCAAAGUAACAACAACAACAAUAAUAAUAAUUCUACAAAGUUUACAUUGUAACUCUGAAGAGAAACAAACAACUCACCACUACUACAAAGUAGCUAUCAAAAUUAUCUUGCCUAUCUAAGGUUGGGGAGUUGCAAGUAGGUGUCCACAGGGCAGAUAGAGAUGCUGAAGUAGAGAACAUCUCUGAAGAUGAAGAUGGAAGGGCAGUGGGGAAGGGACUGAACUAACUCUGAUGCCUGUGAAGGCUGUCUCCAUCCUGGAAGUAGACAUUUAUCUUGUGUUAGACCAGUGGUUUUCAACCUUCCCAAUGCUGCUACCCUUUAACACAGCUCCUCAUGUUGUGGUGACAGCCCUCCCCCUCCACCCCCCCCCCGCCGUAUAAUUACUUUGCUAAUACUUCAUAACUGUAAUUUUGCAACUGUUAUGAAUUGUAACGUAAAUAUCUGAUAUGCAGAAUACCUGAUAUGAGACCUACAAAAGGACAGUGAACCCCAGGUUGAGAACUACUGCUUGUAAGAGGUUUAUUAUUAUUUAUUGUUAUUUCUUGGG
ensembl:lncRNA